rnacentral:rRNA from 1 species
UACGAAGGGGGCGAGCGUUGUUCGGAUUUACUGGGCGUAAAGCGCGCGUAGGCGGCCCGGUAAGUCGGAUGUGAAAUCUCACGGCUCAACCGUGGAACUGCAUUUGAAACUGUCAGGCUCGAGUCCGGGAGGGGGUGGCGGAAUUCCCAGUGUAGCGGUGAAAUGCGUAGAUAUUGGGAGGAACACCAGUGGCGAAGGCGGCCACCUGGACCGGAUCUGACGCUGAUGCGCGAAAGCGUGGGUAGCAAACAGG